ACACCGCAUACCCACAUCACCAUGUUGGGCUACAAUGAAAACCGCGUGACCAGGAGGUUGAAGUACAAAGCGACGAGGAGCGGAAUGCAGAUCGUUUUCCCGCCCAUGGCCGAAGUGAAGAGCCAGUGGGCGUGGGUGCUGGUCAUGGCCGGGGUCACGCCCGCUUAGGCCUGAGGUCAAGGACGAGGUCAAGGACGAGGUCAAGGACAAGGUCAAGGAAGAGGUCAAGGACAAGGUCAAGGAGAAGGUCAAGGACGAAGUCAAGGCUCCUUCUGAACUGCUCCAUGUUUGUUAAUGAUUCUGUGUUUGGACAUUCGAAAUGGCUGAAUGUUUCAUUUUGUAUUUGCGAGAAGGUGUUUAAUAUUCUUUUAAAAAAUGGGUAGUGCUGAGUAAUUGACAUAUAAUUUGACAAAAAAAUAAAGAUACGGGUUGGAAAAUGUUAUCAAAGGUAGAUAGAAAUAUGGAAAUGCUGAGUAUAAUGAAAUAUAAUGGAGAGAAGAAACACUAUGUAUGCAGAUACAUAUACAAAUUCACAUCAAAAUGGUAAAUAGCCAUGAAACAGCAAUGAUAAAGUUUACCCUAGAAAA